rnacentral:rRNA from 1 species
AGUGAACGCUGGCGGUAGGCCUAACACAUGCAAGCCGAACGGCAGCACAGUAAGAGCUUGCUCUUACGGGUGGCGAGUGGCGGACGGGUGAGGAAUACAUCGGAAUCUACUUUUUCGUGGGGGAUAACGUAGGGAAACUUACGCUAAUACCGCAUACGACCUACGGGUGAAAGCAGGGGAUCUUGGGACUUGGGGGGAUUGAAUAGGCGAUGUCGGAUUAGGUAGUUGGGGGGGUAAAGGCCCAACAAGGCGACGAUCCGUAGCUGGUCUGAGAGGAUGAUCAGCCACACUGGAACUGAGACACGGUCCAGACUCCUACGGGAGGCAGCAGUGGGGAAUAUUGGACAAUGGGCGCAAGCCUGAUCCAGCCAUACCGCGUGGGUGAAGAAGGCCUUCGGGUUGUAAAGCCCUUUUGUUGGGAAAGAAAAGCAGCAGGUUAAUACCCCGCUGUUCUGACGGUACCCAAAGAAUAAGCACCGGCUAACUUCGUG